rnacentral:misc_RNA from 1 species
GUUGGAAAAAAAAAUGAGAGAGCAAUAAGAAUAUUUUGAUAUUUAACCUGAAUUAUAUGCUAGUUUUACAUAUUAUGAACAUAUACAAUCCUUCAUCGAGUGCCAUGCAUAUAGUUUUCUUACAUUUUUCCAGCAAGUCUAUUUUCUACAUAUAACAAACAAAUGAUUUCAGGAGGGUGUCACAGUUCCACAAUAAUAUUUUAAAUAUAUUUCAUAAAUUAAGAAAAUAUGCAGACCCACAUCUUUAUGAUAUAUUUUGCGGGAGACACUUGCUAUUACUAUUAUAAUUUCUUUUCAAUUAUUCCUCAUUUUAAAGCUUUACAUUUAUUAAUUUGUUGUUAUAUAUGAAAAGUAUGUGAAUUAUUAUAUUUAUUAAUAAUUCAUAACAUACUGUUCAGCCCUAACACAAAUAAUUAGUUGUUAAAACUUUACUAGUGGCUCAAAUCCAACAGUUUAACUAACGUAACUUGAUUGUCACCUCUAAAUUUAGUCAAAGCACAAAAUAGAUGCCAUGUAAUUAAUUAAGGGAAAGAAUGCUUACUCCUUCAAAGAGGCCUUCAAGCUU